CACACUUGUGAAACAAUAUGAGAGGUUUGAACUUUCAGAAAAAGACUCAGAACCAGAAUCAAAUGCUGUUAUACUGCCUUUUUACCCUCUUUUUUUCUAUUUGAGGUUUUAUUUUACACCAAGUGCCAAUCAGAAUAAAAAUGCUUUGCCCGAUCUGCAAAAGAAGCAUACAACAAUUUCUAAUUUGCAACAUGUUCUGCAUACCUGGAAUGCUGUAAACUUAAAAGGGCUUUCUGAUUGGAACAUCCCAUCCUCAUCAAGCCAUCUCUCUGGUUUGAACUCCUCUGCAUCAUCACCCCAAAUGAAUUGCAUUCUGCCCAUUGCAUAAGGUUGAUAACAAACCAUAUCCCCUUUCCUCACACUGAACCCAUCUGGUAGAGUAUCAUCAGAGAAGCAUACCUUUGCAUCCUGCAAUCAAUGUGAAGAGAUAGUGAGAACCAAAGAACAAGGAAGCUAAUUUCUAACCUUCCAGAUACGCAUUAAAUGGAUAUCAGUUUAUAGAUGCAUGUUCUUGGAUGUACAUUAACAAGUUCAGUUGGAGGAUUCAAGAUUCAAGGCAACUUUGCUUACAACUGGAACAGCGGGGUAGAGCCUUAAUGUUUCAGUUAUGGCUGCAUGGAGAUAGUGCAUUUUUCCUAAAGCUUCUUCGCUCAAGAUAGCAGCAAAUUCAGCAUAAUCUUUAACAUCUUUCGUGUCAGUUGCUUCCUUCACUUCUUGUGCAACCUUUUCUUGAACAUCAGGAUGCUUGCAGAGCAUGUAAAUAAACCACGACAGAGUAGCUGCCGUUGUGUCUUUCCCAGCAAUUAUGAAGUUAAGGAUUAUAUCUCGCAAGUAUGUUGGAUCAGUGUCACUCACUUGUAGAAAUCUGGAUAAAAUGUCUUCCUUUUUCAUCUGCAUAAUCUGUAGAAAAUAAUAAUUUCAAUAUUCCACUUCAACAGGUAAUAUAAGUUGUUAACUAUAAGUAGCUCUACUGUUCUAGUUCACUCACUGAAGAUUCAUCCUUUGAGUUGCGCAUUUGCUCAAUCUUGUUGUGGAUCAGCUUAUACACAAAAUUAUCAACCACUUCUAUACUUUUCUUCAGUGUGGCCUCUGAUCCAAUAUUUAGAAAUCUUUUGAUCUUCCAGAAGAUAUCAACAUAUCGGAAGAGGAUUGCUGCACUUGAAUCAUCAAAAGCAGCUGUAAACUGUUUGCCUUCUAAAUUUGAUCCACACAUGCUGUCUAGUUCGACUCCAAAUGCAACUUUGAAUAUUGAAUCUAAAGUCGAUUUCAUAAACAAGUCCUGCACAAUAUAUCGUUAUAACAGAUUCAUUUUAUAUAUCACUCUGCCAUUGAUCUUGCCAUUAGGUGAACUUACCUGUAUAUCCAUUAUCUCAUUGGAAUUUGCUGCUUCAGACACUAUAGUCGCAAGUUUUGCCGCAUUUUCCCGAAAGACUACACUGCUGAAAUCUCUCAAGACCUUGGUUGAGAAUUCAUAGCUUGAUACUUUCCUCUGUUGACGCCACUUAUCACCAUCGACAGUGAAAAUCCCAUCGCCUAGUAAACCCUUUAGCAAGCUGUAAUUGUACUCACCCUGCACAAAAAAUUAAACAGAUUGGAAAACCAAAACAACUCCACCAUUCUGCCUUUUGGGUGGCCAUAUAAUUAUCAAAAGCCCUUUCAUUCCAACUAAUCACUCUGCGGCACAUUAGCAUCUUCAAUUGACUUACUUGUGGCGAGAUUGAGACCCUUUUCUUAAUCUAAUUAUGGGUGUUUCUGUCUAGGCUACUUAUACUAACCAAUCACCGGGAGAGUUCAGAAUUUUCUAGACCAACAAAUUAUUUGUGACUUUGAGGUGUGAAACGAGAGUCGGCACCAUACCUUGCCAUAAUUCUGGAAAUUUGUUUUGAGAAUAUACUCAACAUUGUCGGGUUCCGAGGUAUAAAUCUCAUUCCUGAAAGGGCUAAGCAGCCUGUAGGUCCUGUACUUCCCUGCAAGAUCAGUCAUAUAGUGAUGCAAUCUUCUGAAGUUGAGGAGCUGGUUAAAAACCGUUCCGCCAACAGGAUGGUACUUGGCCUUAUUUUUCCUCUGCCUUUCUCUUAGUUUUGCUGUGAGGAACUUGACAGUGAAAAGGGCAAGGAUUAGACUUAGAACCAAAGCUACCAAGGGAACUGGGUUAGACAGAUCCAUGGACAUGGAGGUACGUUUGGGUAAGCUGGUCUAUCAAUGUUAGGUGAAGGCUGUAUUAAACUAGAGAAGUCGGUUUUGUAAUACUAAUAAUAUCAACGGAGAGAAGUCCUUCUGCUAAGUCAUUCCUCUCAACCAAACGUGUCAUAACCUAAUUGGACGACAUUCGGACAAGCCCUAAACGUGGUUCUCUCGAAUUUCACAAGGUGAUCUUUUUGAAAAUUGGUAAAAAAUUACUAAUAAACUUCACCACAGCCAAGUAACAAAACAAAGGGCCAUACUUGUUAUUUCCUUAGUUAUGAUGAUAAAGAACAUACAAAUCUCUUCUAAUUGGUUAUUCUAUAGUUAAGUAAAGAGAAUGAUUUUUGAAUUUAAUUCUUAAAUAAGAAAAUACGUGUAUUUAUCAUGUUAAAUUUAAUACUCAAAUGAAAAAUUAAUUAGAAUUUUAUUUCGGAGCAUAUGAUACAAUCAAGUAACUUAAGUACAAAGAUGAUUAAGCUUGGCAAACAAGGAUAUGUCAUGUUUCUCAAUCCGAGAGAUAAGAAGCACAGAGCCAAAGGCCCUGCAAAAAGGCAGGGGAGAACUGAAUUGUUGUUUCCUAAAACUUUGCAUUAAGAUCAACAUGACUUUCUAGUCAUUAAAUAUUCUGCUAGAUUUCGAACUUGCAAAUAUGGUCUGUUUUAAUGAAAUUGCAGAAUGUUGUCUCACGUCUCAAGAACUUUGAUUUCACUUCUUUUUCAAGGAAAAAAAAAUGGUUUCACUUAGUUUGCAGAAGUGUCCUGAACUCAAUUUUCAGACAAAAGUAUGGUUCAAGACUCCUUGGUGAGUGAAAGUAAUUCUUCAUCAUAUUUAUUCCUUUAUUUUUCUUUUUGGAUAUCAUUGUAUUUAUUCUUGUGCAAGGACAAGUACAUGCAUACUCAAACCUUGCAAUUGCCCAGCAUACAGAACUGAGCCAACAGAUGAAACCCGUGGUCAAAUAGGCAAGAAAGACUAAGUCUGACAUCUGGGAAAUGCGCGGACAUGAAGGCCCCCAUCUACAUGAAGAGUGAUCAUCGUCCUGUAGGUGACAGAUUUAUUCUCAUCACUCAGUUUGAACACAAAGUAGUGCACAAGAACAGCCGAGAAGAUCUUCAUCUGCCUAUAAGCAAAUUCCUUGCCUAAACAAAUUCGAGGCCCUGCCUGUAAACCAUUAGAAAAUAAAGUUCAGUAUGUUCACAUCUUUAGCCGGUGAAAUCACACUUGUGAAACAAUAUGAGAAGUUUGAACUUUCGGAAAAAGACCCAGAACCAGAAAUCAAAUGCCGUUAUACUGAUUUUUUACCCUUUUUUCCUAUUUGAGGUUUUAUUUUACACCAAGUGCCAAUCAGAAUAAUAAUGCUUUGGCCGAUCUGGAAACGAAGCGUACAAGAAUUUCUAAUUUGUAGUAUGUUCUGCACACCUGGAAUGCUGUAAACUUAAAAGGGCUUUCUGGUUGGAACAUCCCAUCCUCAUCAAGCCAUCUCUCUGGUCUGAACUCCUCUGCAUCAUCACCCCAUAUGAAUUUCAUUCUGCCCAUUGCAUAAGGUUGAUAACAAACCAUAUCUCCUUUCCUCACACUGAACCCAUCUGGAAGAGUAUCAUCAGAAAAGCAUAUCUUUGGAUCCUGCAAUCAAAGUGAAGAGGUAGUGAGAACCAAAGAAAACCCCAGAACAUAGAAAGGAAGCUAAUUUCUAGCCUUCCCGAUACGCCUUGAAUGGAUAUCAGUUUAUAGAUGCAUGUUCUUUGAUGUGCAUUAACAAGUUCAGUUGGAGGAUUCAAGAUUCAAGGCAACUUUGCUUACAACUGGAACAGCGGGGUAGAGCCUUAAUGUUUCAGUUAAGGCUGCAUGGAGAUAGUGCAUUUUUCCUAGAGCUUCUUCGCUCAAGAUAGCAGCAAAUUCAGCAAAAUCUUUAACCUCCAUCGUGUCAGUUGCUUCCUUCACUUCUUGUGCAACCUUUUCUUGAACAUCAGGAUGCUUGCAGAGCAUGUAAAUAAACCACGACAGAGUAGCUGCUGUUGUGUCUUUCCCAGCAAUUAUGAAGUUAAGGAUUAUAUCUCGCACGUAUGUUGGGUCAGUGUCAUUCAAUUGCAGAAAUCUGGAUAAAAUGUCUUCCUUUUUCAUCUGCACAAUCCGUAGAAUACAAUUAUUUCAAAAUUCUACAUAGAAACCGUUAAUUAUAAGUAGCUCUAUUCUUCUAGUUCACUCACAGAAGAAUCGUUCGAGUUACGCAUCUGCUCAAUCUUGUUGUGGAUCAGCUUAUACACAAAAUUAUCAACCACUUUUGUACUUUUCUUUAGUUUUGCUUCUGAUCCAAUAUUUAAAAAUCUCUUGAUCUUCCAGAAGAUAUCAACAUAUCGGAAGAGGAUUGCUGCGCUUGAAUCAUCAAAAGCAGCUGUAAACUCUUUGCCUUCUAAAUUUGAUCCACACACGCUGUCUAGUUCAACUCCAAAUCCAACUUUGAAUAUCGAAUCUAAAGUCGAUUUCAUAAACAAGUCCUGCACAACAUUUCGCUAUAACAGGUUCAUAUUAUAUAUCACUCCGUCAUGGAUCUUGCCAUUAGGUGAACUUACCUGAAUAUCCAUUAUCUUGUUGGACUUCGCUGCGUCAGACACUAUAUUUGCAAGCUUUGCUGCAUUUUUCCGAAAGACUACAGUGCUGAAAUCCCUCAACACCUUCGUUGAGAAUUCAUAGCUUGACACUUUCCUCUGUUGACGCCACUUAUCACCAUCGACUGCGAAAAUCCCAUCACCUAGUAAACCCUUUAGCAAGCUGUAAUUGUACUCACCCUGCACAGAAAAUUAGACAAAUUGAAAAACCAAAACGACCCCACCAUUCUGCCGUAGCCAUAUAAUUAUCAAAAACUCUUUCGUUAUAGCAAAUAACCCUGCAGCACAUUAGCAUUUGUAGUUGACUUAAUUGUGACUAUAGAUUGAGACACUCUUUCAUAUUCUAAUUCUGGGUGUUACUGUCUAAGCUACUUCUUCCAACCAAUGACAGGGGGAGUUCAAAAUUUUCUAGACCAACAAAUUACCUUGCCAUAAUUCUGGAAAUUUGUUUUGAGAAUAUAUUCAACGUUGUCUGGUUCCGAGGUAUAAACCUCACUCCUGAAAGGGCUAAGCAGCCUGUAGUUCCUGUACUUCCCAGCAAGAUCAGUCAUAUAGUGAUGCACUCUUUUGAAGUUGAGGAGCUGGUUAAAAAGUGUUCCGCCAACAGGAUGGUACUUGGUCUUGUUUUUUUUCUGCUUUUCUCUUAGUUUUGCUGCGAGGAACUUGACAGUGAAAAGGAUCAGGAUUAGAUUUAGAAACAAAGCGACCAAUGUAGCUGGGUUAGACAGAUCCAUGGAGAUGGAGGUCCUUUUUGGGUAAGCUGGUCGAUCAAUGUUAGCGGGUGAAGACUGAAGAAAACUAGAGGUCUUUUUAUAAUACUAAUAAUAUCAACGGGGAGAAAUCCUUUUGCUAAGUCAUUUCUCUUAACCAGACGUGUGACUAUAUUCGGACAAUCCGCAAACGUGUUUCUCUUAAAUUUUACGUGCACAUUGCUGAGAGUCCAACCAUGAGAGAGAUAUGCACCGACUUUCCUUCGUUGUCUCCUUUUUCGUUUUUAAAUUGUUAUAAGUUAUUAACUAAUUUCACCACAACCAAUUAACAAAACAAAGGGCAGGACUAGGUUUUUUUUUACUCAGUCAAUAUAACUAUUUAGAGAAAAUUGUGAAAAAUAACUCAUAAGGUGAUUUCAAAAAUAAUUAUCCAUAUAAUGUUAUCUGUUUUUACCAAAAAACAAACAUGAGUAAACCAAAAUGCUCUCAGAAACAUCCUGGCAAAUCAAUCUCCUAAUAUCUCUCUCGCUGUAAAGAAAAUAAAUACUCAGUUAUUUCAGCUCGCUCAACUCUUUCAGCUCUCUAAAUUAUAUCAGCUUUGUCAACUCUCUGUUAAGUACCAUCGUCAUCAACUCUCUUAGCUAUUUGAACUGUAUCAUCUAUAUGUACUUAUUAAAGAUAUAAAUUAAAGAAUAUAAAAGAAAACGAAGUAAAUGAAUAAUUGAAAAGACAAGUCGAGCCACUAAUUACUACAAUGAUCACUGUCUGAUCACGACAGCUAAAGCCACUGCAAUUGCUCGGCCAAUAAAGUUGACAAACUUUGUUGAAAUAGGACUUGCAUUGAAAAUCACGUCAGUUCAUACUAUCUUAGGAUCAUAUGUGACCAUUUUGUAUAAGCUAGCUUUCUUUCAAAUUAUGAUAACUAUGCAUUUAAUGAAUGAUUUAUAUGAUGAUUAGUAUGCAUUCUUAGGCCUAGCUACUGUUCAAAACUUAGUUGUUAAGUUUUGUUAUGUAUAUAAACUAAGUCAAUGCAUAUCAGAAAUAUGAAACCUACUGUUACAACAAAAACUGUCUUUACUUGCUCUGUUUCAUACUUAUCCUACAUCAACUAAAACACAACAAAACUUACUAAAUAAAGCAAUCUAUAUACCAACAAUGUCUUGGAAUUUAGCAAGUUUUAGUUUGUCCUCUUGGAAUGACAUAGAGGUCGAGGCCAUGCUGGAGGGUGAAGCCACAACAUGGUCCUAUCGUCUGCCAAGUUGAAGCGAAAGUAGUGAAUAAGGGAACUUUGUUGAGAUUUUCUUUAUCUGCUCAGAAGAAAUUAAGAAAAAAUUAUAUGGUGUAGAUACUUGAUUUUGAUUUUGAUUGUUAACAUAUUUCUUCAAUAUAAAGUAAAAUUAAUUUAUAAAACGUUGUAUUACUAUGUAAGAAGUAGUGUAGAUAAUUUAUAAUAAGUAGAAAAAUCACGUCAUUGUAUAAACUAGUGAAAAUAUCUUCGAAAUAAAUGAUGAGAUUUUUAAAUUAAUUUUUUUAAAAUGUUUUGAAGAGUUUGAUUUGAUAACUUAAAUACAUAAAUGAAAAUUUUCUAAAUACGUAUGCAUAAAAUCCACUAUCACCAUCAAUGACCUAAACAUUCAUAAGGCUUUAAUGCCUCAACAGUUGACAUUUUCUCAUUGGUAUGAAUAAAUUUCAUUAAUUACAAGAUUACUCAAUUCCAUAACCCUUCAAGAUAUUUUCUCAUUGAUUGUGUUCGAUUUGAUAAGGAUGUUAAUUUUUUUUUUUGAAUUACAAAUAUUUUUCAUUUUUUUAAAUAAUUAAGUGACGCACUUCUAAUGCCUCAGUAGCUGACAUUAAUUAUCCAUUGGUUGCAUUCACUUUGAUUCGGAGCUAAUUAACAACCGAAAAGUUGGCCGAUGUUUGCCGACUUGGAUUUAAUGGUCAUAUGAGUUGGUGUAACAAUGUGAUACCAAAAAGGUAGUAAUCAAUACAAAUUUUGAGUAGGAAGAGUACUGCAUUCAAAUGAAAUCAAGAAGAAGAUUGUGGAGAAAACUCUCAUUUAAUGGAAGAACAUGACUGCCAAAUACGAGUACCUAAACAUGGUUUGGCAAUUGCCAUCAUCCUAUGCAUCCCUAGGUUACUUAACUGAUUGAUGUAAUUCAUUGAAUAAAAUGGUUAGUUGUUAUUAUCAUGUCAUGUCAUCGUCAUGAUAUUUCUUCCUCUUUUGUGAGUAAUGAGAUUUUUGAAGGAUGGAGAUGACUCUACCUAAAUUCUUAGAUUUUUUUGUUGCUUAUUUUCAUUGUAUUUUGAGUUUUUGACUGUGUCUAACUGUUUAUCUUUUGCAAAGCCAUUUUUUCACCUUAAUUUCAACCCAGCAUCUGUGUGUUGUCCGAUGGGUUAGAAAAUGGGCAAGUUUGAUUGGUGGUUGAUUCCUUUUCUUCAGCAUUUUGGUAACUUGGGCCUAUAAAAUUUAUUUAUAGUAGACAAAAAAAAACUUUUAUUAAAAAAUAUUAUAGUAAAUAUUUGUUUCUUUUCGGAUAAUUGACUUUUAUUUAGCUAAGGAAUAUUUUAUUUGAAAUAUGUCCCAUAUAUACCACUGAAAAUCCAAGGCUUUUUAUGGUUAUUCAUUCUUAAUGGCAUUUCUACUAAAUGCUUUCUAAGAAUCAGAACGCAUGGUGUAUGUCCUACAAUACAAAUGGUGAUAACCUUUGUUUUUGGUGUUACAGCCAUGGAGGAAAAGAGUGAUGAUAUUUUAUUUUCUUGUCACUUCAUACGGUCCAUGGAGGAAAUGUGGAUAGAUCGAAGAUAAGUAAAUCAAGAUUCACAGACUGUGAAAGCGUAUUAAAAGAUGAGAACUUUUUGACUUGGAUUUUUUUUAAUAAAAGUUCUUUGCUUGGAUUUUUUUUUAGUAAAAAUUCUUUGCUUGGAUUUAAGAGAUGAGAUUCAAAGAACUUUUAAGAGAUGCAGCAAACAACCUCAAAAUCCAAGCUCUUUGCUUGUAAGCUUCCUAGCCACUUGUAAACAGAAAAUACGGCUUCUAUGGAGUCCCAAUCUCGGGAAAUGGUCAGGGCAUAUAGACCAGAUGACUCGAAUUGUACAUAUAUUUUUUUCUUUUUUGGUGAAAUAACUCAAAUUCCAUUGAUCAACACAUUUACAGAAAAAAGCAAAUCAACACUAUAGAAAAAUGCAAAUCGGGGCUCUUAUGUACAACCAGCAAGGUUGAAGACUUGAAGUUGAACAAAUUGAUGACUUUGCACAGGAGGAUAUUUGGAAAUUCAUCAACUUGUCCUUGGAACAGCAUAAAGAUGGAGGCCCCCCUUCAUAUGAAGUGUGAACAUUGUCCUGUAAGUUGCAAUUUUCGUAUAAUCAACUAAUUUAAAGCGGAAGAAGCGAAGAAGGGCAAUUGAGACUAUCUUCAUCUACCGGUGAGCAAAAUCCUUGCCUAAGCAAGUUCGAGGACCCGCCUGAAACAUAAUGCAGCAGCUGGAAAAGAUUAAGAUCGUUUGACAACUAUAUAGGCACAUGCAUGUUAUACACAUGGUAGAAAUGGAACAAAGAAUACUAACAUGAAAUGCUAUGAAUUUGAAAGGGGAUUCGGACUGGAAAACUCCAUUGUUAAGCCAUCUUUCUGGUCGAAAAGUGUCGGCAUCUUCUCCCCAAAUGUCAGGCAUUCUACGCAUGGCGUAGGCCAUGUAAUACACCCCGUCUCCUUUCUUGAGUUUGUAGCCAUCGGGGAGAAUGUCAUCCUGCUCUGCAUUCCUUCCAUCCUUGAAGCACAAAGUGAGAACCAUAUCAUAUUCCAGCUGUCGAAAUGCUAAGACUGCAAGAAAAUCUAUGAGUGUCUCAGGCACCUUACAAUGGCGACAGCAGGGUACAGCCUUAAGGUCUCUGUUAUGGCUGCAUGAAGAUAGUGCAUUUGCUCUAGGGUUGAAUCAGUUAUGGUUGUCACGAAAUCAUCAACAUUAUUAGCACCAUUUCUUUUACUACUAGUGACGUCCACCACUUCUUGUGCAAGUUUUUCUUGUAUCAAAGGGUUCUUGCAGAGCAUGUAGAAGAACCAGGACAGAGUAUUCGCAGAAGAAUCUUUGCCAGCGAGUACGAAGUUCAGGAUUAUAUCCCUUAAAUAUUUGUCAUUCAUUGUGUCUGGAUUCUUCUCGCUUUCCACUAAAAAUCUUGAAAGUAUGUCUUCUUUCACAUUCUUGAAGCCAUAAAAAGAAAUAAGAAAAAACAAACCAAUUAUUAGUAAAGUAUAAAUUUCCACGCCAAAAACCAGAUUACCUUAAGCAGUGAGAUUGAAUUCAACAGUGUUCUUGUGACUCUCAAGUCCCACCAUAUUUGUUAGACCAAGAUUGACUAUAAGAAAUUCUUGCAGCAAAAUAUAUAUGGCUCACCAAAUCUCGUUCCAUGCCCAGCAGUUUCCUCUUGGAGCUAAUGACAUCGUGAACAAAGUAUCAACGACUUUGAUAUUCUUUCUGAGGGCAGCUUCAGAGCCAAUGUUAAGAGACCGUUUCAGCUUCCAGAAAGGGUCAACAAAGCGCCUCUCAUUUGAAUCAUCAAAAGCCUUCAUAAAAGUAGUCCCUUCCUUACUUGACCCAUCCAUGCAGUUUAAAUCUAUGCCAAACCCAACUUUGAAUAUGGAAUCUAGAGUGCAUGUCAUUAAUAGAUUCUACAAAUUAAAGUAAACACAGCAUGAAAAACUGAAAAAGGGAAAAUUAGACAAGCAUAAUUGUGAGCAUCUUUAAAGUUUUGGGUUAAUUUGAGGGUCAGAUUUCUCACUUGCAUGUCAAAAGCUUGACCCGACACUUCCAGCUUCGAAAUAACUCCAACCAGUUUGGCAGCGUUCCUUCUGAAAACAGAGCAGCUAAAAUAUUUAAGAACUCUCGUCGAGAACUCGAAGCUUGCCAGCUUCCGCUGCUUCCGCCACUUGUCUCCGUCCACCGCAAAGAUCCCUUGUCCAAAAAGAUCUAUCAGAAUUUCUUGGUUUUGUUUACCCUUACAGUAUCUGUCGAACUUUGUUUUCAAUAUGUACUCUACAUUUCGCGUAUCGACGGUGUAUACUACGCUUAGCCCUAAAGCGAGUUGCCUGUAAGUGGGCUGUUUUUUGGCCGCUUGGGUUUGGUAGUCGUAGAGAUAGUUGAAAUAAAACAACUGGUUGAAAACGCUGCCCUUCACCGGUGGGUUGUCAGGAUUUCCGAUGGAUUUUCCGGUGAAGAUUUUGAUUGUGAGAAAAGAGAAGAUCAGGAAGAGAAUGAGUGGUGGUAAUGACAUCAACAAGAAGAUGGUAGAGAGAAUAUCCAUUUUUCCUUUUUCUAAUGAAUACUCGGAAAGGUUAUAGGCCAUAUAUGCAGAUUCUUGCAUUGGGUUGCAUUCAUUUUUCAACCUACCAACAAAAUCAAACCGUUUUCAUCACCAAUAUCUUUCUCAACAACAAAAUCAUUUGUUUAAUAAUUAUAAUGUUUACACGUGUACGAUUGCCAUUUCAUCAAUUUGAUUUUUCUUGUAAAUUAAGUUGAUGCCACCAUAUCUCAUACUUCAAAAAUUUUAGAGGAUUGUACGGAUAAUCAUAAAUUUAUAAUCAUAAUUAUAAUCUAUUUAACUUCUAAAGUGAAUUAACAUAUAUAACUUUAAUCAAGUAAGCAUGAAAAAAGUGUAUCAUUUAAGUUUGGGUCUUGUUUACGAAUAUUCUAAGAGUUUUUUUAUCGUUAAUUAAAAUAUUAUAAUAAUAUUUUUCUUUUAAAUGUCGUAAUUGACUGGUAGUGCGAUGAUUUUCAAUAUAUCUAAAAUGAUAUUACUCAAUAUAAUAACUUUAAAUAAUAUCAUUAUAACAAUAGUUAGUAAAAGUCAUAAUAUUCAAAAAAGCUUUUAAAUUAUUCAAAAAAUUUAAAAUAAAUCUUACUUUUAUUAUAUUCAAUUAUAUUUUUAUAUUUUUAUUUUAGAUCAAAUAAAUCUUUUAUUUUUAUUUUGAAUCAAAUAAAUCUUUAUAAAUAAUAAUUGACUUAGUUAAAAUGUUAUUUGUCAUUAUAUAUUACGUGACGCUGAUGUAGUAUACUAACAUAUCAUAAUUAAUGAUGAUGUGAUAUGUUGAUUUAUCAUAUUUGAUAAUGAUAUGACAUGCUAGUUUAACCUAAUAACAUGAUGACAUUUUUCAAUCUCUACAUUAAUAUCAUAUUAGUGCCACGUGGAUAUAAAAUGAUAAAAUAUAUUUUGACUAAUGAAAAUUAGUCAAUUAUUAUUAAUAAAAGCUUAUUUGAUCUAAAAUAAAAAUAUAGAGACUUGAUUAAGCGUAACAAAAGAAUAAAAAUUUAUUCGAAUUUUGUUAAAUAGUUUCAGAGCUUAUUUGAGAAAUAUGUGUUAGUAAAACCAUUUAUAUUUAAAUUUUUAUUUUAUUUUUUGAAAAGUAAUUUGUCAUAAACGGAAUAAUGACAUGGCUAUAGAUUAAGCUAGGCUAUAAACUUAUUUCAGCCUUAAAUGAUUAACAAUGAAUAAGGUGCGUCCCCUCUCAAGAAACCCCUAUACAAUAGUUAGGAUAAACCCUUAAAGGAUGGACCUCAGGACCGGGGGCAGCUCAAGUACCUCUUGUGACGACAUGAUAUUCAUUGAAGACUAUUUGGACUUCAAGCGUGUUCAUCCAUUGACAUUGGCAAUUAGUUUCUGCUGGCAUGAACCGUAUGGCGACCACUUGUAUGAUUGUGAUAUAUCAUGCUGUUGAGUGCGAGCUCAACUUUGUUGAAGUACAUUGGUGUCCUUGGUUUUGUUGAAUUCUGACAAUAGACAUCCCAUACCCAAUUCAUAGCAUACAUAUGGCUUUUAUCUUUGUUUAAAUUGAAUUAAGAACAUCCGGAUUCAUUUCAUACUCAUAAGAUCUUAAGAUGAUCAAGAUUUGCACUUAACGGAAGCAAAACUGGCCUGAACUCAAUAUUCAGACAAAAGUAUGGUUCUAGACUCUUUGGUCAGUGAAAGCAACCAUCCAUCAUAUCGAUUCCUUUCGUCCUUUUUGCUUGGUGACAUCAUCCGAUUUACUCAUGUGCAAGGAAAGAUACAAGUAUAUUAACAGUGUGCAUUUGCCUAGUAUAAAGAACUGAGCCACCAGAUGAAACCCUUGGUCAAAUAAGCUAGAAAGACCAAAGUUAAGUCUGACAUCUGUGAAGUGCGCGGACAUGAAGGCCCCCAUCUACAUGAAGAUUGAUCAUCGUCCUGUAGGUGACACAUUUAUUCUCAUCACUCAGUUUGAACGCAAAGCAGUGCACCAGAACAGCUGAGAAGAUCUUCAUCUGCCUAUAAGCAAAUUCCUUGCCUAAACAAAUUCGAGGCCCUGCCUGUAAACCAUUAGAAAAUAAAGUUCAGUAUCUUCACAUCUUUAGCCGGUAAAAUCACACUUGUGAAACAAUAUGAGAGGUUUGAACUUUCAGAAAAAGACUCAGAACCAGAAUCAAAUGCUGUUAUGCUGCUUUUUUACCAUUUUUUUUCUAUUUGAGGUCUUUUUUUACACCAAGUGCCAAUCAGAAUAAAAAUGCUUUGCCCGAUCUGCAAAAGAAGCAUACAACAAUUUCUAAUUUGCAACAUGUUCUGCAUACCUGGAAUGCUGUAAACUUAAAAGGGCUUUCUGGUUGGAACAUCCCCUCCUCAUCAAGGCAUCUCUCUGGUCUGAACUCCUCUGCAUCAUCACCCCAAAUGAAUUUCAUUCUGCCCAUUGCAUAAGGUUCAUAACAAACCAUAUCUCCUUUCCUCACACUGAACCCAUCUGGAAGAGUUUCAUCAGACAAGCAUAUCUUUGCAUCCUGCAAUCAAAGUGAAGAGGUAGUGAGAACCAAAGAAAACCCCAGAACAUAGCAAGGAAGCUAAUUUCUAGCCUUCCCGAUAUGCAUUGAAUGGAUAUCAGUUUAUCGAUGCAUGUUCUUUGAUGUGCAUUAACAAGUUCAGUUGGAGGAUUCAAGAUUCAAGGCAACUUUGCUUACAACUGGAACAGCGGGGUAGAGCCUUAAUGUUUCAGUUAAGGCUGCAUGGAGAUAGUGCAUUUUUCCUAGGGCUUCUUCGCUCAAGAUAGCAGCAAAUUCAGCAAAAUCUUUAACCUCCUUCGUGUCAGUUGCUUCCUUCACUUCUUGUGCAACCUUUUCUUGAACAUCAGGAUGCUUGCAGAGCAUGUAAAUAAACCACGACAGAGUAGCUGUCGUUGUGUCUUUCCCAGCAAUUAUGAAGUUAAGGAUUAUAUCUCGCAAGUAUGUUGGAUCAGUGUCACUCACUUGUAGAAAUCUGGAUAAAAUGUCUUCCUUUUUCAUCUGCAUAAUCUGUAGAAAAUAAUAAUUUCAAUAUUCUACUUCAACAGGUAAUAUAAGCUGUUAACUAUAAGUAGCUCUACUGUUCUAGUUCACUCACUGAAGCUUCAUCCUUUGAGUUGCGUAUUGGCUCAAUCUUGUUGUGGAUCAGCUUAUACACAAAAUUAUCAACCACUUCUAUACUUUUCUUCAGUGUGGCCUCUGAUCCAAUAUUUAGAAAUCUUUUGAUCUUCUAGAAGAUAUCAACAUAUCGGAAGAGGAUUGCUGCACUUGAAUCAUCAAAAGCAGCUGUAAACUGUUUGCCUUCUAAAUUUGAUCCACACAUGCUGUCUAGUUCGACUCCAAAUGCAACUUUGAAUAGUGAAUCUAAAGUCGAUUUCAUAAACAAGUCCUGCACAAUAUAUCGUUAUAACAGAUCCAUUUUAUAUAUCACUCUGCAUUGAUCUUGCCAUUAGGUGAACUUACCUGUAUAUCCAUUAUCUCAUUGGAAUUUGCUGCUUCAGACACUAUAGUUGCAAGUUUUGCCGCAUUUUCCCGAAAGACUACACUGCUGAAAUCUCUCAAGACCUUGGUUGAGAAUUCAUAGCUUGAUACUUUCCUCUGUUGACGCCACUUAUCACCAUCGACAGUGAAAAUCCCAUCACCUAGUAAACCCUUUAGCAAGCUGUAAUUGUACUCACCCUGCACAGAAAAUUAAACAGUUUGGAAAACCAAAACAACUCCACCAUUCUGCCUUUUGGGUGGCCAUAUAAUUAUCAAAAGCCCUCUCAUUCCAACUAAUCACUCUGCGGCAUAUUAGCAUCUACAAUUGACUUACUUGUGGCGAGAUUGAGACCCUUUUUCUUAAUCUAAUUACGGGUGUUUCUGUCUAAGCUACUUACACUAACCAAUCACCGGGAGAGUUCAGAAUUUUCUAGACCAACAAAUUAUUUGUGACUUUGAGGUGUGAAACGAGAGUCGGCACCAUACCUUGCCAUAUUUCUGGAAAUUUGUUUUUAGAAUAUACUCAACAUUGUCUGGUUCCGAGGUAUAAAUCUCAUUCCUGAAAGGGCUAAGCAGCCUGUAGUUCCUGUACUUCCCAGCAAGAUCAGUCAUAUAGUGAUGCAAUCUUCUGAAGUUGAGGAGCUGGUUAAAAACCGUUCCGCCAACGGGAUGGUACUUGGCCUUAUUUUUCCUCUGCCUUUCUCUUAGUUUUGCUGUGAGGAACUGGACGGUGAAAAGGGUCAGGAUUAGACUUAGAACCAAAGCUACCAAGGGAACUGGGUUAGACAGAUCCAUGAAGAUGGAGGUACGUUUGGGAAAGCUGGUCUAUCAAUGUUAGGUGAAGGCUGUAUUAAACUAGAGAAGUCGUUCUGAAAUACUAAUAAUAUCAACGGAGAGAAGUCCUUCUGCCAAGUUAUUCCUCUCAACCAAACGUGUCACAACCUAAUUGGACUACAUUCGGACAAGCCCGAAACGUGGUUCUCUCGAAUUUCACAAGGUGAAAUUUUUGAAAUUGGCAAAAAAUUACUAAUAAAUUUCACCACAACCAGAUAACAAAACAAAGGGUCAUACUUAUUUUUUCCUUAGUUAUGAUGGUAAAGGACAUACAUAUCUGUUCUAUUCGGUUAUUUUGUAGUUAAGUAAAGAGAAUGAUUUUUUAAUUUAAUUUUUAAAUAAAAAUACGUGUAUUUAUCAUGUUAAGUUUAAUAUUCAGAUGAAAAAUUAAUUAGAAUUUUAUUUCAAAGCAUAUGAUACAAUUAAGUAACUUAAGUACAAAGAUGAUUAAGCUUAGCAAACAAGGAAAUGUCAUAUUUCUCAAUCCGAGAGAUAAGAAGCACAGAGCCAAAGGCCCUGCAAAAAGGCAGGGGAGAACUGAAUUGUUGUUUCCUAAAACUUUGCAUUAAGAUCAACAUGACUUUCUAGUCAUUAAAUAUUCUGCUAGAUUUCGAACUUGCAAAUAUGGUCUGUUUUAAUGAAAUUGCAGAAUGUUGUCUCAGGUCUCAACAACUUUGAUUUCACUUCUUUUUCAAGGAAAAAAAAAUGGUUUCACUUAGUUUGCAGAAGUGUCCUGAACUCAAUUUUCAGACAAAAGUAUGGUUCGAGACUCCUUGGUGAGUGAAAGUAAUUCUUCAUCAUAUUUAUUCCUUUAUUUUUCUUUUUGGAUAUCAUUGUAUUUAUUCUUGUGCAAGGACAAGUACAUGCAUACUCAAACCUUGCAAUUGCCCAGCAUACAGAACUGAGCCAACAGAUGAAACCCGUGGUCAAAUAGGCAAGAAAGACUAAGUCUGACAUCUGGGAAAUGCGCGGACAUGAAGGCCCCCAUCUACGUGAAGAGUGAUCAUCGUCCUGUAGGUGACAGAUUUAUUCUCAUCACUCAGUUUGAACACAAAGUAGUGCACCAGAACAGCCGAGAAGAUCUUCAUCUGCCUAUAAGCAAAUUCCUUGCCGAAACAAAUUCGAGGGCCUGCCUGUAAACCAUUAGAAAAUAAAGUUCAGCAUGUUCACAUCUUUAGCCGGUGAAAUCACACUUGUGAAACAAUAUGAGAAGUUUGAACUUUCGGAAAAAGACCCAGAACCAAAAAUCAAAUGCUGUUAUACUGCUUUUUUAGCCUCUUUUUCUAUUUGAGGUUUUAUUUUACACCAAGUGCCAAUCAGAAUAAUAAUGCUUUGGCCGAUCUGGAAACGAAGCGUACAAGAACUUCUAAUUUGUAGUAUGUUCUGCACACCUGGAAUGCUGUAAACUUAAAAUGGCUUUCUGGUUGGAACAUCCCAUCCUCAUCAAGCCAUCUCUCUGGUCUGAACUCCUCUGCAUCAUCACCCCAUAUGAAUUUCAUUCUGCCCAUUGCAUAAGGUUGAUAACAAACCAUAUCUCCUUUCCUCACACUGAACCCAUCUGGAAGAGUAUCAUCAGAAAAGCAUAUCUUUGCAUCCUGCAAUCAAAGUGAAGAGGUAG
rnacentral:lncRNA from 1 species